AACAACCUCAUUAACCAGAAGGGAUUCCUUCCGGUUGAUGCGGUAUAACAACCUCAUCAACUGGAAGGGAUUCCUUCCAUUUGAUGAGUCUGUU
rnacentral:miRNA from 1 species